rnacentral:lncRNA from 1 species
CAAAGCUGACAUUGAAUAUGGUGCUGGAAUAAAUCCCAGCUGCUUCAGGAAGAAGAUGUAUUCAAGUGACAGCUCGAGUUCUGACACCUCUUCAGAUGACUUGCAACACUGGGCUGAUCUUUGUAGAGAAAAACUUUACUCUCGCACUCAGCUGUGAAAGGGCUUACAGCUGUAGUUGUGGGAAGAAACCUUGUCGUGGGGUUGUUGUGGUUUCUUUUCUUUUAAAUUUUUUUUUUAGUUUCUUAUAUUUUUUUAAUCUUUAUUUGCAAUUUCAGUUUUGUUUUCCCCACUAUUUUAGUAGCUGGCAUAUACAGUACAAGCUUUUUUUUUUUUUUUUUCUCUUACAACUUUCACCUGUUUCACGUUGUAGAGCCUACACUAGAUUGUGUUGUCAGAUGAAGAAUGGAUGUGCAUGUGCUUGUGUUUGUAGAAUCACUGCUUUCAACAUCUAAAUUGCAUACCAUUUUAACCUUUUUAGCUGUAGCUAGAUUUACCAUCUUGACAUCGUAGAAAUCUGCAGUUACUUCUGCCAUUCAGAGACUUUUGAUUCUGGAAAAAAAUAUUCUCUAAAAACUAGGAGAAAAAAAAAAAAACACUGUAAUCAAUCAGUGCCUUUCUGAAUGCAGGAGAGAAUAGCAUGAGCGACUUGCCCUAUCUUCAUUUAAAGAAAAAUAAACAAAAAAAACAAGUUAGGAAAAACAAAAAAAUAGAUAAUUGAAGUAGAUGCAAUGAAAUUGUGCUUUAGAGACUUAAAGAAUACUGUGUUUUCUAUCCUAUAAUAAUUUGCCCUCGCCAAGAGGAUAAUAUUGUUUGAUAUUAAUGCUAAUGGCAAUAGCCAAGGAUUUAGUAAAUAAUGCAUGUAUCCCUGUUUGCAGUGUAAUUUGUUCAGUUUUUGCCCAUAAUUAAUUAAAAUAUUUUUUUUUUUUUUUAAACCAACAAAUAAAAUUAAAAUCGAAUUGUGCGUGUUGAGUUGACAAACAUAUUGGUGGCUUCAGACAAUGUCCUUGUAAGUAAAGCGUGCACCUAGCCCAGAUAUGCUCUCAAACGUUAAGUAAAAGAUGUUUUUUGUUUGUUUUUUGUUGGUCUCAAUUAUGUCUGCCCACAGAACCCACAUGCUGAAAAGCAAGUUGUGCUAGAAAAACUUGGAAAUUCUACUGCAGCCUGUAAAUGCCACAUACAUUUUACUUAAAAUCCUGUGGCCAUUGCCAUUGGCUCUUUCUUUAGUAUUUGUUGCUAUUAUUUAGUCUAGUUAAUUUUAUGUUUUGUAAGAAUGCUAGAGAGCAAGAAUUUGUGUGGCAAUAAGCAACUAAUUUUAACAUACAUGUGUGGUUGUAUAUUGAUUUAUGUAAAAAAAAAAAAAAUUUACAAAUUCUGCACAUUGUCAAACGUAACUGUGCAUAUCUCGAAAAAAAAAAAUCUUUCUGUGCUUUUAACACUUAAGCAAAUUAUGCAAGCACACUAAGAGCAAUAUUUGAAAAUAACCUACCAAAAUCCAACACAUGCUUAUGACACCAGAGUUUGCAAAAAGUUGUGUAUUGCUUUGGGACAAGAGCAAUCCUAAUAUCAAUAACACUGUAAUAAAUUCUGUUAUAUCAACAAUUGAUCCUGAUCAGACAUACACAUUCAUGGGCAGAAUAGAUAAUAGAAAUUUUGGGGGGAAUUGUUCAAUGCUUUAUAAUGUACUCUGAAUUUAAAUUCAGUAGUGGAAUUUAACAUGGUUUCAAAAUGUCAGACUUUUAUGGUUUAAAAGAAUAUGAAAUACAUGCUGGAUAUUUGUCAUAUGAAUCUUUCUUUCCAUUCUGACAAUUUUGUAAAUUCCAUAGAAUAUAUAUUCAGAUUAGAUUUACAGAUAUUGCUAGUUUACCCCCUGUAACUUUCACUUGUUUAAGUGAACAGAGUUAACAUAUAUUACACACACACACACAACGAACACUUAUUUUUUUUUUAUUUUUUUUUUUGAAUUUUUGUUUUGACUUAUUUCUGGAGCUUCCUUAAAAAGUUGUAUGUAGAACCUGCACUGAAAAUAUUUCCUCACAGACAGAACGUUUUUUGUUUUUUUAAUUAAAAACAUUUUCAUUGUUUCUUUGCAAAAUGAUUCUUAUAACCUUUUAGGCUGAUCUAAUACAUCCAACUCCUAAAGAAAAUAGCAGUUUUUUUUUUUGUUUUUUUGUUUUUGCCUUUUUAUGGAUGUAUUGAGGAUUUGGAUUUAAAAGAAAAUACCCAUCCUCAUCAUAGAUAUUAUUGAACUGUCCUGCUUACACCCCACCAUUUUGUUUUGUGACUUUAUAAAGGCAGAUAUAAGCUGUAUCAAGUUGGUUUGAUAGACCCUUGGGUUAAAUGUAAAAACUACCUUUCUAUGAUUUCACUCUGCGCUCAUGUGGACCUUUAGUUCACACAGAUGGCAGAUUGCUUGAAUUAUGUCCUAGACCAGGGGUAGGCAACCUUUGGCACUCCAGACGUUGUGGACUACAUCCCCCAUAAUGCUUUUACACCUAUAAUGCUGGCAAAGCAUCAUGGGAGAUGUAGUCCAAAACAUCUGGAGUGCCGAAGGUUGCCUAUGCCUGUUCUAGACAAUUAAUCCUUAUCUUGCCCUGCCAUUGAUAAUGUAACCAAGUUAUUUGCUUCAAUUUCCAAUAUUGGUUGCAUUCAGCAUUUUUAAUUUUUUUGUAAGUUUAAAACCUUUGUAUCUUUUGGUACUCCAUAUCCCCAGUUCAAAUCUUCUACCUUUACAAGGUAUAGUUAUUGAACUAUAAAUUUAACAACUUGGCUAUUUUUUGUAAAAAGGCAGUAGGUCUGCAUAGAGUUUUGUGAAGAAAUAUCAGCAAUGUCUGGCCCUGCAUAUUCAUCCGUGCUGCUCAGUCAGCUGAUUUCUUUAUUUUCUUUGAGAAUUUUAAAAACACAAGCUUAAAAUCUUUAUAUAAGUGAGUACAGAAGUCUUUAAAAUCUACUUUAUUCAAGCAUCUUGCCUGGAUCCUGAUCAAAUGUGUUUUUAAUGAAUGUUUGUGUGCGUUACUGGUUUGUUUGUUGGAUCUCCCCCCUCCCCCCUUAAACAUUUUAGUUUUUGUUCACAUCAUACCAUACACAACAUUGACAUAUUAAAGUAGCGGUGUAAUCCAUGAACACCUGCAGGUGGUGGCAGGAAUAGUAUGUCCUCUGCAAUAAUUUGUAUUUAUUUUUUUUAAUAUCAAAAACUCAUUUAGUGUUUGGGGUUUUUUUGUUUUUUUUUCUAGUUAGGAACCAAUUUUUCUUGACUCCUUUUUAAGGUUGGCAAAACGCUGAACGCACUGUGAUAUGAAGCGCAUUGCAAAUCCAUCGCACUGAAACAUAAAAACUGUUUUUCAUUCCAGGUCUGAAAUUUUGGGGGAGGGGUUGCUUUUUAGUUCUGUUAAGGUUAUUUUCCCCAUUUUAGUGGUUGUGUUCUGAUUUAAUGUACACUAGAGUAACUGAGUUUUGUUUUUAUUGUGGAAUUAACACCAAAUAAAAGUGUAAAUAAAAAAAAAAAAAAAA